GUAGGUGAAGUGAUUUACUCAUGGAGCUGAAGUCAGUCGAAGAUACCAGCUGGCUGCAACUGUUUAUUAAAAACACAGCACUGUGCAAACACGAAAGUGGACGUAUACGGUGUGACGCCUGCCCGGUGCCGGAAGGUUAAUUGAUGGGGUCAGCGCAAGCGAAGCUCCUGAUCGAAGCCCCGGUAAACGGCGGCCGUAACUAUAACGGUCCUAAGGUAGCGAAAUUCCUUGUCGGGUAAGUUCCGACCUGCACGAAUGGCGUAAUGAUGGCCAGGCUGUCUCCACCCGAGACUCAGUGAAAUUGAACUCGCUGUGAAGAUGCAGUGUACCCGCGGCAAGACGGAAAGACCCCGUGAACCUUUACUAUAGCUUGACACUGAACAUUGAGCCUUGAUGUGUAGGAUAGGUGGGAGGCUUUGAAGUGUGGACGCCAGUCUGCAUGGAGCCGACCUUGAAAUACCACCCUUUAAUGUUUGAUGUUCUAACGUGGACCCGUGAUCCGGGUUGCGGACAGUGUCUGGUGGGUAGUUUGACUGGGGCGGUCUCCUCCUAAAGAGUAACGGAGGAGCACGAAGGUUGGCUAAUCCUGGUCGGACAUCAGGAGGUUAGUGCAAUGGCAUAAGCCAGCUUGACUGCGAGCGUGACGGCGCGAGCAGGUGCGAAAGCAGGUCAUAGUGAUCCGGUGGUUCUGAAUGGAAGGGCCAUCGCUCAACGGAUAAAAGGUACUCCGGGGAUAACAGGCUGAUACCGCCCAAGAGUUCAUAUCGACGGCGGUGUUUGGCACCUCGAUGUCGGCUCAUCACAUCCUGGGGCUGAAGUAGGUCCCAAGGGUAUGGCUGUUCGCCAUUUAAAGUGGUACGCGAGCUGGGUUUAGAACGUCGUGAGACAGUUCGGUCCCUAUCUGCCGUGGGCGCUGGAGAACUGAGGGGGGCUGCUCCUAGUACGAGAGGACCGGAGUGGACGCAUCACUGGUGUUCGGGUUGUCAUGCCAAUGGCACUGCCCGGUAGCUAAAUGCGGAAGAGAUAAGUGCUGAAAGCAUCUAAGCACGAAACUUGCCCCGAGAUGAGUUCUCCCUGAGACUUUAGGUCUCCUGAAGGAACGUUGAAGACGACGACGUUGAUAGGCCGGGUGUGUAAGCGCAGCGAUGCGUUGAGCUAACCGGUACUAAUGAACCGUGAGGCUUAACCUU
rnacentral:rRNA from 2 species